GCCCUCUCAGUCUGUGACAUCUGUGGUUACCAGGCAGCUCUGCUGUCCCUUCUCCCCACUCUCAGUAUCUCUGGGAUCCUGCUCUGCCCUCGUCCAUCCUGGUUCUUAAGAAGCAUCACAGGCUCUUAUCAGGAUGGAUGCUCCUGCCUGCCUAGAGGAUAACUCGAUUAGAAGCUCUCUCAGCCCUCCUGCUCCCAGGUUGCAAUUCAAUUUCGGCUCUGAGUGCAGCCCCAGGCACCCCCUGUGUCAUUCCUCAGCCAAUUGGGUUUGAUAACAGUUCUUAUUUCUAUAGCAAACACAACGUUAUCUCCGUAUCCCAUUUUCUAGGCAGCUGGUAAUUAGCACGCACCAGCCUGUCCUGCCUGCGACUCUCUAAAUGGCCUUGUUUUACUCUGAGCUGCCUCUGCAAAACCCAUCUGCCUGCCAUGAUUUCAGCCCAGCACGAUACCAUUAUCACCCCUGCAGAAGACAGGAUUCGACAGGCUUCCUGUGCGUGGAACAGCCUCUCUUCCACCGUUAUUGCUCUUGUGGGGAGUCUGAUUCCAGACCAUUUUUCCAGUAAUAGAGAAAAGCACAUUGUAGAGCUACCACUAAGGACAUUUCCAGCUGCAAUUGGAGCAACACGCAGCCUGGGAUCACUCAUUCCAUGCAGCCCGACCCCUUCCAUCAAUAGAACUCCAUGGGGAUACAGCAACUGUGUUUGGGAGCAUCACUGAAGGGGGAGAGGUGGCUCCCAGCCCUGCUCCCAUAGGAGGGAGCAGCAGAACUCCCUGACAUGGACCGUGUCAGAAGUGCUUUGUCAACCUGUGGAGCAGCCAGUUAUGCCAAUGGUCUCUGCCAGGGUGGGGAGCCACGAGAGCAUGGCAGGAGUUCAGUGUGGAAAGGAAUAGGUUUUAGAAAGGAAGUUUCACGUGUAUUGCACCUACGCUUCAUUUUCCAAGAGCUCUUACAUGCUUCAUUAAAGACAUCUUGCACUGCAUCAAGGCAAGGAUGGUAACUGUGACUAUAAUUGAAUUAGCUUAAUGUUUCCCACUAAGAAUGCCUGUUUCUGCUGUCUCUCAUGGCAUCUAUAGCAGCUAUGGAGAAAGACUGAGGAUCACCAUUUAUGCUGGCAAAGCCUGAUUCCUCUGUGGCGUGGUGAAGAGGCUGCAGCCAAGUGGGCUAUUCCCAAACAGAGCCUUGGGUGACAUGAUCUAAAGUGAGGUGUCCCUGCCCAUGGCAGGGGGUUGGAACUGGAUGAUGUUAGGGUCCUUUCCAACCCGAACCAUUCUACGAUUCUAGGAUCUGGGCGCCUCACACUAAAGUUAUCUUCU